rnacentral:rRNA from 1 species
AUGGCGGUCUCCUUCUGGGUGGCCGACCCACCGCAGUUGUCCCUCUUCUCCAUCGGCUGCUCCAAGCCCCAUGAUCUGCAUCACUCAAAGCACGCCAACUUCAGAAACUUGCCAAACGUGGUGGGCGUAGAGGGCCGCCUCGUCCUCCUCCGUGCCGCCUUCGCCGAACACUACGGCGUGUCCGAAUAUUUCCUAUACAAGGCCGCCGGUGACGCCGGCGAGCCGCCGUCGCUCCAACGGAUCCCUUCUCCCUACGAGAAUGAUGACGGCGAUGACCUGCGCGGGGUCAGGGAGUUUGGCAUCCUGCUAUUUCUAAUACACCAAAAAAUUGGAACCCUGAUGAUGGCGACGGGCGACGCCGGCGACGUCCCCCGCCGGCUGGCCUCCAUCCUCCUCGCCCAGAAACCGCGCUUCACGGACAGCAGGAACGAGACCACGGCCACAACCGAAUCCAAGGCCGGCUACACCAUGGCGGUCUCCUUCUGGAGGGGGAUUGGAUGA